AUACGGAGGGGGUUAGCGUUGUUCGGAAUUACUGGGCGUAAAGCGCGCGUAGGCGGAUUGGUAAGUUAGAGGUGAAAUCCCGGGGCUCAACCCCGGAACUGCCUUUGAUACUGCCAGUCUUGAGUUCGAGAGAGGUGAGUGGAAUUCCGAGUGUAGAGGUGAAAUUCGUAGAUAUUCGGAGGAGCACCAGUGGCGAAGGCGGCUCACUGGCUCGAUACUGACGCUGAGGUGCGAAAGCGUGGGGAGCAAACAGGAUUAGAUACCCCAGUAGUCC
rnacentral:rRNA from 1 species